ACACAGAAGUCUGAAGAGACUGAUAGAGGAGGGAGACAGGGAUGGGCAGAAGACAACUAGAGGUCUGAAGAGACUGAUAGACGGGAUGGGCAGACAGGGAUGGGCAGAAGACAACUAGAGGUCUGAAGAGACUGAUAGAGGAGGAGACAGGGAUGGGCAGAAGACAACUAGAGGUCUGAAGAGACUGAUAGAGGAGGAGACAGGGAUGGGCAGAAGACAACUAGAGGUCUGAAGAGACUAAAGAAAGAAGGAGAGUGAGAAAGAGACUUCUACCUGAGACUGAACUGUCUGCACACACACACACACACACACACACACACACACACACACACACACACACACACACACACACACACACACACACACACACACACACACACACACACACACAGUCCGUUAGCGCUGACAGUGCAGGGCUUAGUUGCAUGUGACAGCAGGAUGAGCAGGGCCUGGUUCCCAAGGAAACAGCAGAGUCAGCCAUGACACACAAAUCUAUGAUUGCUGACUGUCAUGACAUUUUGUAUAUAUUUGUAUUUGUAUUUUAUUGGUUAUGUAUGUGUUUUUAUGUCUGAGUGCUUGCGUCUAAAACAUUGGUUCAACAUGUGCCAUUGUUAGAAUAGUGAUUUUCGAUGGAUGGCGCAGACCUGGGUUCAGAUACAUGUGUAUUGAGUAUUUGUUAUUCAAAUAUUUUGUUUUGUGUAUUUAAGUAUUUUCAAAUAAACAGCUCAAAACAAGUA